AUUGAACGCUGGCGGCAUGCUUUACACAUGCAAGUCGAACGGUAACAGGCCGCAAGGUGCUGACGAGUGGCGAACGGGUGAGUAAUGCAUCGGAACGUGCCCAGUCGUGGGGGAUAACGCAGCGAAAGCUGUGCUAAUACCGCAUACGCUCUAUGGAUGAAAGCGGGGGACCGUAAGGCCUCGCGCGAUUUGAGCGGCCGAUGUCAGAUUAGGUAGGUGGUGGGGUAAAGGCCCACCAAGCCAACGAUCUGUAGCUGGUCUGAGAGGACGACCAGCCACACUGGGACUGAGACACGGCCCAGACUCCUACGGGAGGCAGCAGUGGGGAAUUUUGGACAAUGGGCGCAAGCCUGAUCCAGCAAUGCCGCGUGCAGGAAGAAGGCCUUCGGGUUGUAAACUGCUUUUGUACGGAACGAAACGGUCUGGGUUAAUACCCUGGGCUAAUGACGGUACCGUAAGAAUAAGCACCGGCUAACUACGUGCCAGCAGCCGCAGUAAAAC
rnacentral:rRNA from 1 species